AACGAACGCUGGCGGCGUGCUUAACACAUGCAAGUCGAACGAGAAAGUUCCUUCGGGGACGAGUAAAGUGGCGCACGGGUGAGUAACGCGUAGAUAACCUGUCCAGGUGUUUGGGAUGGCCCUUCGAAAGGGGGAUUAAUACCGAAUACGUUGGUUUGUCAUAAGGCAGAUCAAGGAAGGUGGCCUCUAUUUAUAAGCUAUCGCAUUUGGAGGGGUCUGCGUACCAUUAGUUUGUUGGUGGGGUAAUGGCCUACCAAGACUUCGAUGGUUAACGGGUCUGAGAGGAUGAUCCGUCACACUGGCACUGAAACACGGGCCAG
rnacentral:rRNA from 1 species